CGCGUAGGCGGCUUGCCAAGUCAGAGGUGAAAUCUUUCGGCUCAACCGGAAAAGUGCUUCUGAUACUGGCGGGCUGGAGGGAGGUAGGGGCAGAUGGAACUUCCGGUGGAGCGGUGAAAUGCGUAGAUAUCGGAAGGAACGCCGGUGGCGAAAGCGAUCUGCUGGACCUCUUCUGACGCUGAGGCGCGAAAGCCAGGGGAGCAAACGGGAUUAGAUACCCCGGUAGUCCUGGCCCUAAACGAUGGGUACUAGGUAGUGGACUUGACAUGGGUUCACUGCCGAAGCAAAAGUGUUAAGUACCCCGCCUGGGGAGUAUGGUCGCAAGGCUGAA
rnacentral:rRNA from 1 species